AGUGAACGCUGGCGGUAGGCCUAACACAUGCAAGUCGAACGGCAGCACAGUAAGAGCUUGCUCUUACGGGUGGCGAGUGGCGGACGGGUGAGGAAUACAUCGGAAUCUACUUUUUCGUGGGGGAUAACGUAGGGAAACUUACGCUAAUACCGCAUACGACCUACGGGUGAAAGCAGGGGAUCUUCGGACCUUGCGCGAUUGAAUGAGCCGAUGUCGGAUUAGCUAGUUGGCGGGGUAAAGGCCCACCAAGGCGACGACCCGUAGCUGGUCUGAGAGGAUGAUCAGCCACACUGGAACUGAGACACGGUCCAGACUCCUACGGGAGGCAGCAGUGGGGAAUACUGGACAAUGGGCGCAAGCCUGAUCCAGCCAUACCGCGUGGGUGAAGAAGGCCUUCGGGUUGUAAAGCCCUUUUGUUGGGAAAGAAAAGCAGCAGGUUAAUACCCCGCUGUUCUGACGGUACCCAAAGAAUAAGCACCGGCUAACUUCGUG
rnacentral:rRNA from 1 species